rnacentral:rRNA from 1 species
UACGUAGGGGGCAAGCGUUGUUCGGAAUUAUUGGGCGUAAAGAGCUCGUAGGCGGUGUGUCACGUCGGCCGUGAAAACCUGCAGCUUAACUGUGGGCGUGCGGUCGAUACGGGCAUCACUGGAGUUCGGCAGGGGAGACUGGAAUUCCUGGUGUAGCGGUGAAAUGCGCAGAUAUCAGGAGGAACACCGGUGGCGAAGGCGGGUCUCUGGGCCGAUACUGACGCUGAGGAGCGAAAGCGUGGGGAGCAAACAGG